UACAGAGGUCUCAAGCGUUGUUCGGAUUCAUUGGGCGUAAAGGGUGCGUAGGUGGCGCCGUAAGUCAGGUGUGAAAUCCUCGGAGCUCAACUCCGAAACUGCACUUGAUACUGCGGUGCUCGAGUACUGGAGAGGAGAUUGGAAUUUACGGUGUAGCAGUGAAAUGCGUAGAUAUCGUAAGGAAGACCAGUGGCGAAGGCGAAUCUCUGGACAGU
rnacentral:rRNA from 1 species